CCUAACACAUGCAAGUCGAACGGUAACAGGAAACAGCUUGCUGUUUCGCUGACGAGUGGCGGACGGGUGAGUAAUGUCUGGGAAACUGCCUGAUGGAGGGGGAUAACUACUGGAAACGGUAGCUAAUACCGCAUAACGUCGCAAGACCAAAGAGGGGGACCUUCGGGCCUCUUGCCAUCAGAUGUGCCCAGAUGGGAUUAGCUAGUAGGUGGGGUAACGGCUCACCUAGGCGACGAUCCCUAGCUGGUCUGAGAGGAUGACCAGCCACACUGGAACUGAGACACGGUCCAGACUCCUACGGGAGGCAGCAGUGGGGAAUAUUGCACAAUGGGCGCAAGCCUGAUGCAGCCAUGCCGCGUGUAUGAAGAAGGCCUUCGGGUUGUAAAGUACUUUCAGCGGGGAGGAAGGGAGUAAAGUUAAUACCUUUGCUCAUUGACGUUACCCGCAGAAGAAGCACCGGCUAACUCCGUGCCAGCAGCCGCGGUAAUACGGAGGGUGCAAGCGUUAAUCGGAAUUACUGGGCGUAAAGCGCACGCAGGCGGUUUGUUAAGUCAGAUGUGAAAUCCCCGGGCUCAACCUGGGAACUGCAUCUGAUGCUGGCAAGCUUGAGUCUCGUAGAGGGGGGUAGAAUUCCAGGUGUAGCGGUGAAAUGCGUAGAGAUCUGGAGGAAUACCGGUGGCGAAGGCGGCCCCCUGGACGAAGACUGACGCUCACGUGCGAAA
rnacentral:rRNA from 1 species